rnacentral:lncRNA from 1 species
AUGGGUCAUUCCAUGGGGUUGGGGCAAAAAUUGUGACAUCAGGGUCAAAAAAUAGAAAUGUAAUAAAUGAAAUGUUUUAUUUCUUAUAUGUUUCAUGGGACAAUCCUUCAACUAAAUCCACUUACAGGCAUUUCAUACCACCCUGCAUAUUGGAGUAAACUGAGAAAUAAGAUUUGACAAAAUACCACCGUUACAUGGACAUCAUUUAUCAUCCUUACUAAGACUAUGCUCUCCCACUGUCAAAAUAAAGGGGUUGAUCUCCAUUACUCUUGAUAAAUAUUUUGCUAACAACAUUGUUAGUCACUUUAUUCCACACUUUUCAACAUGGCAUAUAUAUUUUGAAAGAUUUAGCAUCAAUAAAUGGAACUUGAUGCUCUGUGUGUAUACCAGUGCCAUGUUCUGUGUCGUUCUUUUUUCUCACCAGUCUAGAAAAUUGAAUUUAUGAUGGCAUGUAGAACUAAAUAGUUGAGAGAAGUCAUGCCUCAACAGAAUGGAUUAUUCUCUUUGGAAAAACUAAACUACUCUUUCUGGCAUAACCUUCUAUUUUUAGUGUUACCACCGUUACAUGGACAUCAUGUCUCAGUAACAGAGGUAUACUUAGAAGCAAUGUUAAGUUAAUGUCCAUUAAUGGCCAUUACACACCAAAUUCCACUUCAUGCCUUAGAAUAUUUGCACAAGAUCAAUUGAUUACACUAAAGAAAAACAUUUUGCAUGUCAAAUUCUUUGCAAAUAAAAGCAAAUUAAAUUAGAGUUUAAACAAGGAAAAAUGUACAAAAUUAUUGACAAAUUAUAUUUAAAAUCAUACUACGAUAAUCCUCAAGUUUCCACUUCCGUCUACCUCUGGAAACAUUUACGUUUCUGCCUAAAGGGAAAAAACAAAACAGUGCCAUCUUAUGAUCUCCAAUUCUUUUUACUUUAAAAUAACUCCUUCAAGAUAUUACUUUCAAAUGUACAUACCACCGUUACAUGGACAUCAUGUCUCAGUAACAGAGGUAUACUUUGAAGCAUUGCUAAGUUAAGGUCCAUUAAUGGCCAUUAAACACCAAAUUCCACUUCAUGCCUUAGAAUAUUUGCACAAGAUCAAUUGAUUAUACUAAAAAACAUUUUUCAUGUCAAAUUCUUUGCAAAUAAAAGCAAUUUAGAUUAGAGUUUAAACAAGGAAAAAUGUACAAAAUUAUUGAUAAAUUUAUAUUUAAAAUAAUACUAAGGUAAUCCUCAAGGUUCCACUUCCGUCUAUCUCUGGAAACAAAUGUUUCUGUCUAAAGGGGAAAAAACAAAAGAGUGCUAGCUUAUGAUCUCCAAAUCUUUAUUACUUUAAAAUAUCUCCUUCACGAUAUUACUUUCAAAUGUACAUACCUCCGUUACAUGGACAUCAUGUCCUUGUAAUGAUCAUAUUGAAUAGUAUUACAUGUACUUGCCAUUCUUUUAGUAUCAACACACUAAUGCGAGUUAACUCAUCUUACUCAAGUGUAGAAAUACAACAUCUACAGGCAAGCUUCUAAAAUGCAUCAAUGAACAGGUUACAAGUUUAUGAACUUCAAGAUGAUCGGUGACCCAAUGACAACUGUGUGGAAGAGGACUCUGUCAAUGUCACAAAAUAGAUACAGGUAGAAUUGUGCCUCGCCAUCAGGCCAGGAGUACAGGUCACCAGAUUGACACUUCAUGUACUGAAGAUAUAUAAUUUUACCUUCAACAGAGGCUACCUGUAG